rnacentral:SRP_RNA from 1 species
GCCGGGCAUGGUGGCCUGCACCUGUAAUCCCAGCUACUUGGGAGGCUGAGGUGGAAGAAUCACUUGAACCCAGGAGGCUGAGGUUGCAGUGAGCCGAGAUUGCGCCACUGGACUCCAGCCUGGGUUACAGAGUGAGACUCCAUCUCAA